rnacentral:rRNA from 1 species
UACGGAGGGGGUUAGCGUUGUUCGGAAUGACUGGGCGUAAAGCGCGCGUAGGCGGGCUGGAAAGUCAGGGGUGAAAUCCCGGGGCUCAACCCUGGAAUGGCCUUUGAAACUCCCAGCCUUGAGUUCGAGAGAGGUGAGUGGAAUUCCGAGUGUAGAGGUGAAAUUCGUAGAUAUUCGGAGGAACACCAGUGGCGAAGGCGGCUCACUGGCUCGACACUGACGCUGAGGUGCGAAAGCGUGGGGAGCAAACAGG